UGGUUUACUAUUACUGUGGGUAUCCAAUCACCUUUGUGGUAGUGAAUUGCCUAUUGCCUGACCAGUUAAAAAAAUUGCCAAUACAAUUUGUCCAUUUAAAUUGUACAAUAGGUAUUGUGAGAGCUAUUAUCAACAGGUGGUCAUUUAACUACCUGUAGAUUUACCUGGUUUGUUUUUAACAGAGCUAAUUUAAAUGAAUGAUAGCUAGCUUGCUUUCCUCAUGUCCAAUGUCCUGAAUGGACUAUUCUAUUUAGGUAUGGGACAUUUUACAUUUGAUACACUAUUUGUUCUUUCUAACAAAGAUAAUUAUUGUAAAUUUUUUUUUUUGCUAACAAUCACAAAUAAAUCAUUGCUGGUAAAUCCCACUUUUAUAAUGAAGAAUAAAGCACUGAAAUUUCUAUUCACUAAGCCAUUUGUACUUUUUUGAUAUAUUGAAAAUAAAUUUUUCACAGUAAUUCCGAUUGAAGAAGAUCCUGAAUAUUAAAUGAAACUUUGAUACACUAUUUGUUCUUUCUAACAAAGAUAAUUAUUGUAAAUUUUUUUUUUGCUAACAAUCACAAAUAAAUCAUUGCUGGUAAAUCCCACUUUCAUAAUGAAGAAUAAAGCACUGAAAUUUCUAUUCACUAAGCCAUUUGUACUUUUUUGAUAUAUUGAAAAUAAAUUUUUCACAGUAAUUCCGAUUGAAGAAGAUCCUGAAUAUUAAAUGAAACUUAGCAUUACUACUAUUCCAUUUCAGGAAUCGUAAUAUAACAUGAAAAUAUAUCCCAUUAUAAAACACCAAGCCACACAUAAUUCAUCUUGUAGAAUUAUUCACAAUUAGAUGGGCAUCCAAAAAAUCCAUUUCACAAACACUUUAUUCCAUAUCAGGAAUCGAGAAACUUAAAAUAACCCACAUUAAAACACCAUGAAGCAAACAUAUAUCUCCUUUUUUUUAAAACUAAAUUCACUGAUUGAAUUUCCAUCUUCACUGUAAAGAGACACAAAAAGAAAUGGCUUAAAAUGCCCCAUCUCUAAAUAGAAUAGUCUAUUCAGGACAUUGGUCAUGAUACAUGAGGAAAGCAAGCUAUCUAUCAGUCAUUUAAAUUUUACCUUUUAGUGAUUUUUUUUUACUGGGUAGUUAAAUGACCACCUGUUGAUGACCUCUCACAAUACCUAUCAUACAAUUUAAAUGGACAAAUUGUGUUGACAAUUUUUUAUACUGGUCAGGCAAUAGGUAUUUAAAUACCACAAAGGUGAUUGUGGAAUGACAGUAACAU
rnacentral:lncRNA from 1 species